UGUGUAUAUGUGUGUGUGUGUGUGGCUCAGACAGCGGCUCGCAUGGACGCGACUCUCCUCCUUCCCUUCAAUCAGCGGCGGCAGGCUGGAGGAUCUAAAGCGAGCAGAGAGAGAGAGAGGGAGAGUGUGUGUGUGUUGUUGUUGGGUUUUUUUCGUAAAUUGCAUGAACAUUUUUUUUUGGAAGCAUGAACGCUUUUUGCAUUUGGAAGCCCUGGAUUAAAAUGCGGGUAAAAAAAAAACAAAAAAAACAACCAGGACGUUAAAGAUUGAAGAGCGCGAGGCACCCGGAGAGAGAGAGAGAGAAAGAGAGAGAGAGAAAGAGAGAGAGAGAGCAACAACAAUAAUAGGAGAGAGGGAGAGAGAGGGAGAGAGGCUGAGACACACGACACACGCCACCUAUCUUCACACAGAGGGAUAAUGGAGGAGUGCGCAUCUCAGGGGAAGCGGCAGAAUUUGCACGGUAAUCUCGUGCUUCAUGUGCGCGCGCUGCUGCCGCUGCUGCUGCUGCCACUGCUGCCACGCUGACGCCGCGCGUGCUCUCAGCACCACUUAUCGGUUCAUUCAUCCUGAAUGCGCCGCUGCCCUCGCGCUGCUUCGCUCUGAAUAUUACAUACAGCGUGAAAUCGGCUCCGAGUCCGCGGCCAACCUGUGCUGCAACCUCCGGGUUAAUGCAUCCGCUAAUUUCAUUGGGAAAACAGGACGCCCCCUCAUCUGUAUGCGUGUGUGUUUGUGUGUGUGUGUGUGUGUGUGUGCGUGCGUGCUUUCAUAACGCGUUUAGACAUUUUUUUGACGUGAGAACUGCCAUAAGAUGCUAUUCAUUCAUGCAUGCAUUCAUGUGCAUAUACUGUAUGUGAAGUAAUGCAAAAAAAAAAAAAAAGACCAAGCUAUAAACUAAUACAGGCUAAAAAACAACCACAAAAUAUAAUUUUAGCUAUUUAUCUUACAACAUGGCACACACUAAUAUACACAAUUCUAAAAGAUAUAAAAUAAUGCAAAAGUUCCAGAAUACAAGUAAUUAUUUCUUAUAUUCUGUAAACUUCACAGCUAGUUGAAGGCUAAUCUUUAUUUAUGAAUUAAUCACAUUUAUAAAAUGAUGUGUGUUAUUGUCAAUGCGGGAAGAAAGCUCUCAAUAAAAUAAAAUAAAAUAAAAUAAAUAAAAGCCCUCUCCGAAUGAAAGGUGCAUCAAGGAGACAUAUUUUACCUGGAAAGCUUUAAAAAUAAUUGAAUGUUCGUAACUGGAUCUCAAAGACCACUAGGUUAAACACUAAUGAAAGGUACGUCAUGCAGUUUCCCUGUUAAAGCUGCGCAUUAAAGGUACAAAGCAUGUCCCCUUGAUGGCAUCUCACCCGAGAAAAGGGAAAGUACUACUUCUAAGAGCGUACACACUAAAUGUUCCUCAAAUGAAGAAGGGAAAAUAAGUAUAAGUAAACAAGCAUACUUUAAUCCAUAUUAUGUUAUAUAUUAUAUAUUAUUAUUAUCUAGAUUGCUUUAUCUGUGCCGUCUCUGAGGGCCAAGAGUUCCAUAAAUACUCUCACAAAACAAUACAACAUGGGAGAUGAAGAUUGUCAGAGCAGUUCAACGUGAAGAAAAGUGUGUGUGAGACGGAAAAAAAUACAAGUGGAGGUGAGGCUCGUCAGCAAGGAAAGGAAAAGGAGCAGCAGAGAGUAAGAGAUGAGACGACAUGUUUGUGUGGAGUGUUUUAUAUGACAGAGGCUGAACUCUGUGUGUGUGUGUGUGUGUGUGUGUGUGUGUGUUUGGCUCCAGGAGCUGAGAGCGAUGAGAAAGUUCCAGAAAAUCUCACAUCUGCAGCGGGGAUGGAGCCGAGCACACAGGUGGUAGGGAACGAGAGAGAGAGAGAGAGAGAGAAAGUUAUUUCCUGUCUAUGAGAACAUCCUUUGAGUGUUUUCUCUCCUCUUUGUCACACACCCCCAUAGAACACACCCUCUCUUUCUCUUACACACACACAUUCUUCACAGACUGACUCAUUUGAACUCCUCCUUCCAGGUGUUUACGAGUCGCACAACCAUAAUACUGAUUAUUGUUAUCAGACAUUUCAACCUAAAAUGGUGGACUGAUAUCAGAGCUGAUGUGUUUCUCAGUGCAGUAUGAAGAUAAAUUUAAUGCACGCCAUGAAAACGUGUCAUUUAGACCGACACAACGUGUGAAUAUAGCACACACAUCUGCUUCAGAGACUUCAACAUGUAUCAUCUCCGCCACAUAUCACUGUCGAUGCAUAGAUUCAUUGGUUUCAACUUUUAUUUUUAUUAUUAUUAUUAUUAUUAUUAUUACUAUUUUACAACAAAUGUGGAAAAAGGCAUUUAAAUUAAAAGUUUGGCCAAAAUAAAAAUUAUUAUUAUGUCCCCGUAAUUAAAUCUCCAAUGCAAGAAAUGUUUGAUGUUGACGUUUUUUUUUUUCAGACUUAAUUGAUUACAGAAAACAAAAGGGAAAAAGUUGUAAAGUUUUUCAAACAUUAAAAACUGACUAGAGAGUAAAAGACGAAAAAGAAAUAAAAGGAUAAAAUGUACUCAAGACAUGUUUAGUGGUAAAGUUUUCCAGAUUUAAAUAAAAAAAACUGAAUAGAGUAAAAAAAAAAAAAAAGUAAAAAAAUGUCCCCAAAACAUGAAAAGUAUUUAUUUAUUUAUUUAUUUAUUUAUAGAAAGUCAAGUCCAGUCACAAAGGAAAAAAUAUCCACAAGACAGGACAUGUUUAGUGUUAAACCUAACAAAAGAAAUCUUUGAAAAAUUAAUAGAUUAUAAAAGGGAAAAAAAGACAUAUUUGGUGUUAGAGUUUAUUAGAGAAAAAGGGGGAAAAAUAGGAAAAGAAAACAGCCCCAAAGACAUGCGAGGUGUUAAUAAAAAAAGAGUAAAGAAAAAGAUGUUUUUUGUGUUAAUGGUUUUCAAACUAAAAAAAAUGAGUAAAAAUGCAAAAAAAAAGAAAGGAAAAAACAUUUUUCACUCUUGAAAACUGACUACAGUCAAAAAGAAAAGGGGAAAAUGUUCCCAAAACAUUUUGGUGUUUCAAAAAACAUGUUUUGGCAAACUGAGAAUAAAAAUGAGUAGAGUAAAGAAAAAAAGAAAAAAAAAAUUCAAAUUUACAAAGCCAAGUCCAGUAAAAUAAAAAUGUGUAUAUUUAUAAAUACACAGCCAAGACAGGACAUGUUUUAGUUUUUCAAAUUUAAAAUGCAAAUAUAGUAAAAAUUGAAAAAAAAAAAGAUGAACACAAGUUCGCAAAACAUUUUUUUAAAUUAAAAAAAUGAAUAAAGUAAAAAAAAAAAAGAAAAGAAAAAAAGUCCCCAAAUUAUUUUAAUUUCAAACUAAAAAUAAUAAAAUUAAGAGAGUAAAAAAAAAAUAAAUAAAGAGAGUAAAAAGAAACAUUUGUCAAAUUUAAAAAAAAAUGAGAGAAAACAAGAAGGAAAAAUGUCCCCAAAACAUGUCUGAUGUUUUUCAGACUGUGUGUGUGUGUGUGUGUGUGUGUGUGUGUGUAAUGUAAAUAUCUAAAUGUAAAUAUGUAAAUGUGACGGUGAGUCACGUGAGCAACACGCCCUCUCUGUGUUGUACUGAGAAUUAAAAAUGUGGAUAGUAAAAGCAUUAAGGAAUAAACGCACGUGAUGAGCUCGA